rnacentral:rRNA from 1 species
GGAUUCCAUGGGGGAACCCUGACGCAGCAACGCCGCGUGGAGGAUGAAGUCCUUCGGGACGUAAACUCCUUUCGAUCGGGACGAUUAUGACGGUACCGGAAGAAGAAGCCCCGGCUAACUUCGUGCCAGCAGCCGCGGUAAUACGAGGGGGGCGAGCGUUGUUCGGAAUUAUUGGGCGUAAAGGGUGCGUAGGCGGUUUGGUAAGUCUGAUGUGAAAUCUAUGGGCUCAACUCAUAGUCUGCAUCGGAAACUGCCGGGCUUGAGUAUGGGAGAGGUGAGUGGAAUUCCUGGUGUAGCGGUGAAAUGCGUAGAUAUCAGGAGGAACACCUGUGGCGAAAGCGGCUCACUGGACCAUAACUGACGCUGAUGCACGAAAGCUAGGGGAGCAAACAGGAUUAGAUACCCUGGUAGUCCUAGCCCUAAACGAUGACUGCUUGGUGUGACGGGUACCCAAUCCCGCCGUGCCGUAGCUAACGCGUUAAGCAGUCCGCCUGGGGAGUACGGUCGCAAGGCUGAAACUCAAAAGAAUUGACGGA